UCUUGGUCAUUUAGAGGAAGUAAAAGUCGUAACAAGGUUUCCGUAGGUGAACCUGCGGAAGGAUCAUUAACGAGUUUGAAAGGGGUUGUAGCUGGCCUUUAACGGGCAUGUGCACGCCCCACUCAUCCACUCUACACCUGUGCACUUACUGUGGGUCUUCGAGCGUCGUGCGGGUUUCGGCCUGUGCGGUUAUCGGGGCCUACGUUUACUACAAACUCUUCAGUAUCAGAAUGUGUAUCGCGAUGUAACGCAUCUAUAUACAACUUUCAGCAACGGAUCUCUUGGCUCUCGCAUCGAUGAAGAACGCAGCGAAAUGCGAUAAGUAAUGUGAAUUGCAGAAUUCAGUGAAUCAUCGAAUCUUUGAACGCACCUUGCGCUCCUUGGUAUUCCGAGGAGCAUGCCUGUUUGAGUGUCGUGAAAUUCUCAACCUAUAUACCCUUGCGGUUUGUAGGCUUGGACUUGGAGGCUUUUGCUGGCUUCGCGGUCAGCUCCUCUCAAAUGCAUUAGCUCGAUUCCUUGCGGAUCGGCUCUCGGUGUGAUAAUUGUCUACGCCGUGGUCGUGAAGCGUUUGGCGGGCUUCAAACUGUCUCCAUGAGACUCACUUAUGACAUCUGACCUCAAAUCAGG
rnacentral:rRNA from 1 species